UAAGUUAAUCACACGACAGUCAUCACACAACACAUGAGUUUUUGCUGUUGUCUGAGUUAAUCAGACGACAGAUUUUUUAAACCAGUCGUUUCACCCUCUACUCAUCCAACACAUCGUUAUUUGUUAAAUUUGAGAGAUUUCAGACAACAGUUAUAAGGACAUCUGUUGUCUGAAUAAUGGAAAAAACAAACAAACAAUUAAUUUACAUUUAUUUUUUUCCACUCAAAACACUCACAACCAAAAUCUUGUUUCCUUCCCUUAGCUAAAAAAUUAGGUCAUUCGAUCUCCCACCCAAACCGCGCGCGCUCUCGGCCUCUUUGGACUGAUCACCAAAAUCGUGUUCCCUCCCUUGGCUGAAAAAUUAGGUCAUAUUCUCCCACCCAAAAUCGCUCUCAGCCUCUCUGACUCACCAAAAUCGUGUUCCCUCCCUUAGCUAAAAAAUUAGGUCAUUCUCCCACCCAAAAUCGCUCUCAGCCUCUCUCUUACUCACCAUUGCUCUCAGCCUCGUUCUGACUCACUAUCAAUCCCCCUCACACUCAAUCCCGUUCACCCACUAUUUCUCUCCCUUCCAAUUCAAGACCCUUUUGAUUCUUCCUCACCUUUCCAAUUCAAGACUUCUUGAAGUUCUCUUCUCUUUCGUCCUUAAAGCAGUUGGCGGACUCGGCGCUCACCUUCUUCACCCUCUCCAGGACUUCGACUUCGUCCAGUUCAGUCGGCACUCGGCAGUCGUAUUCGAUUCUCCAAAUCUCCAGUUCGUCGCCUCCUCCUCGGCUUCUCCACUUUUGGUUCUGCAGAUCAAGAAAUCACCAGCAAUUUGGGGCAAUGAUUCAAUGAAUUCAAUAUCAAGACAUCACCAGCAAUUUGGGGCAAUGAUUCAAUGAAUUCAAUGUAAGAUUUUCAGAUUUUGUUUAAUUGAAGUUUGAUGUGGGUUUUGAUGUUUUAUCGGUAUUGUUUGUGCUCGAGUUUGGGAUUUGAGUGAUCGAUUCUAAAAGGUUUAAGUUCUGGACGGUUGAUUGAAAAAAGUACAAGACAUAAUAUGACAAAUCUCGGUGUUUGGAUUUUGAUUUGAGGAAGCUGAAAACUUAUCUGGUUUGGAAUUUUGUGCAGCCAAUUCGGAUUUGAGGUUGUGAUAACUUGAUCAAUAUAAGAUGUCUCCAGCCAAUUCGGAUUUGGAUUUGAGGUUGCUGAUAACUUGCUUCAUGAAGCCACUAGGAAUCUAGAAAGUUUGAUAUUUUUCCCCCAGACCCUUAGAAGCAAGAAAGAUAUUCAAGGGAGGCUUGACAAAGAACAAGCAGUUCUUUGUUUUGCUCAACUCACCAGCAUUGUACUGAUAGCUAGAGUGUGGAUCUUGCAUAUCGAAUUAGCAUGGGCAGAAUAAGGUCAUUGUAUAUAGAUUAAUGACUUGUGCGACUGUUGAAGAAAAGAUAUACAGAAAACAGUAGUGUUAGAUCGUUGGAUCUAGUGGACUUUUUCGAUUUCCAUGGCGGAUUCAAAUUCAGUUAAAGCCAGCCUUUGAUCUUUUUGCUUAUUCCUUCUCUAGCCUCCCACCCCACCUUCUCUAACCUUGGACAUUUUCAGCAAGUGGGAGAGAAGAAGUAAAGCAGCAUAUUCCCAGGAGGAUAUCGAUGUGGUCAGAACUGAGUGGGCAAAGUUUGUGGUUAAAACAUAUAUGUAAGAUUUGUGUUGGUACUUCUUGGAGACCUAGUUCAAAGUUUGUGGUUAUGUUUUGGUUGGACAGGAUCAGUAGCUAGUACUUUGAAUUGAUAUGUAAGAAAUACUUUAACAAUUGGGUACUCUAUUUCUAGUUUCGGUGUGUUUUGGCAAUGUAUGACAAUGAUGUGCUAUAGUAAAUGACAUUUGAACUAAUUUGUGUUUCA